UGAUUGAUCACUGUGGGCUCAAAAAUACCAAAAAAAUAAUGUUUGCUUUUUUGUGCUUUGUUUGUUGCAUGUAAUGAAAGACUUCAAAUUAAAAAAAACCCUUCAUCUACUAAAAUGCUUCAUCUUUUUAAACAGGAAACACUGUAUUCUUGUUUUAUCAGCAACUACAGACUUUAUCUCAAUCAAUGCCCUUUACUGGUAUUAAAAAAGACAAAGGCAUUUGAUAUUUUUUUAACUAAAUGGUGUGUGAAAGUCUGUUAUUCUUUUGUAUUAAAUGUGCUGCUACUUAAUGCGAUAUUAAGGAAUUCUGUGAUGUCUUUCAUGUUUACUUUUUUUUGGUUCUAUUAUUAAUGUCUGUCAUUUGCUUGUUUGGCCAUUUCAUAGAUUUUUUUUUUCAAGAUCUAAGAAAAUUAACUUGGAUUCAGUGUAUUGUUGAGAUUGAUGAUAAUAUUCCACAUAAUACAUGUAUAAUAUACCGAGUGUCUGUGUACUUGGUAUGCUGUACUUGCUGUGUGUUCUGCAGGUGCAUUUUAAUGUGUAGAUCAAAGUUUGUUGUUAAGUCAUGAAAUAAAAUAUAUUUAAAUACUGGUGUAUAU
rnacentral:misc_RNA from 1 species